GAGAGAAAUGAUUAGUGUGUCCCCAAAGACGACGUCUCAUAGCAAAGUUCAUUGUAACCUUGGAGAGGACUGCAAGCUGGACUUGAUUAAAACAUCUUUAAUGAUGACUCAAGUCAGGAGAUACGACAUAUAGUAAAAUCAUUUUUCUUCGCUGGUGUGACAACACUCGUGUGUGUAAUUGGAAUCCCAGGAAACGUCAUCAACUGCCUGGUGUUCUGGCGACAGGGACUACAAGACCGAAUGAACUUGUGUCUCUUCUCUCUCGCGCUCACGGAUGUGUUCACUUGUUGUGUGUCCUUACAAUUUUCUCCGGGACGUCCUUUAUAACUUUGUAUGAGGCAGCUCUAGGUGAGGAAUAUUUCGUUAAAAUCUCAUCUUAUUUGUCUGGCUUUACUAAUGGUUUUCGGGCGACCUCUACUUUUAUUGGCGCCGUGAUAGCAGUGGAGAGAUGUGUUUGUGUUGUCUUUCCACUCAGUGCUGUUAGUUGUAUACGAACGAGAACCUUGGAAGCUUUACUGAUAACUUGCUUUGUCAUUUUUCUUAGCACAGGUUUGUUAUAUACAUUUUCAUACACGUCUGUGUUUUCUAAAACACUAGAAAAAGAGCAAUGGUCAUUUGCUCCCACAACAUUUUUUGAGCAACAUCGUGCAGUAGUCACAAUAAUGGUAGACGUCUUCCUUGAAACAGUUCUACGCAUCGCUUGCUUUGUGACAGUGUGUGUCAGUACAACUAUAACGGUCCACAGGCUGAGAGCAGCGAGGUCAUGGCGACAAAAGACGACCUUGACCUCCGGUAACAUCAACAGCCAGCAGGCGGCUCUCACCUCCAUGUUAGUCGUUGUGUCUGUCAUCUACAUCGCCACGUUAUUGCCAGCCGUCACGUGGCAAAUCACUGAACUGUUUUUAGCAGACAUCGUUAAUGUUUCUUUAUUGUACAACGUAACGGUGUCUGCAGCGGUCUAUUCAUGUCCGCAGAUUAACAGUUGUGUUCACAUUUUUGUGUAUUAUUUUCGAUCACAACGCUUUCGUGAGACCUUUACAAAGAUAUUUUACAGAGAUUAAAAGCAUCGAAUGUAUUAACUUUAUUAUCGGACUAUACAUGAGCAUGAUAGUAUCAAUAACAUUUUAAGAUAAUUUGUAUAAGUCGCUUAAGGAUAUAUUUUCACUACCUUAUCAGUAGGCUAUACAACAUUGAGCUAGGCGUUUUCUAUGCACUAAAACAAAAAUCUUUGUUUUUAUAACAUUUUAGACAAGGUCGAUCUUUUUUAAUAUGUUUGAAUUACUUUAACUCUGUUUUCAAGUGACGAUUUUCUGAUCGAAUGUUUUAUGAUUGCUUUAAUUUUUGAUCAGGUUUUCAGACAUAACUUGAAAGACUGAGAUAACCACGGAUUUUUUUUUAUUGCUUUUGUUUUUGUUUUUCUAAAUGGUAGGUCAAAGAGGAUAACACACUCACAUUUUACUCCUAAUACUCACUUCAUCUCACGUGAGUAGUUAAACUGCAUUACUCUCUUUGUCUGCUCUCUUUACAUGGCAUUCACCUGCCUUUUUGAAAAGAUGACUACAUACAAGUACCUAUUGAUGGCAAACUUAAUGGUACGCUCUGUGCAGCUAACACAUCAGACGAGAGUUAAGUACAUUUUUUUAUAUUUUCCUGCUGCAUCAACCAAGGUCAGUAGAGUUUAUUGCCAAUAAUGCGUAAACAAAUUCAUGUCUUAAAGAUAGAAAUUAAAAUCUAUGUGUACAGAACUUUAUGCUGUGUAAUUUUUUAUUCAAUUUUAUAUCCAACAAUAUUCGGAACAUACUCGACUAAGGGCGUUGUGUCAAACACAAUGUUAUUCGCUGUAUUAGUGUUAAUACGUGUACCAUGUUUUUUCACUGAACUUUACAAAUUCACAUACAAACAGAUACACUCAAAAUUAAUAAAGAGUAAACUGUUUCUGCAACUUUCUUUACUAUUUUCUUUAAAUAACACCAGAAAUUGUCAAAAACGUAUCGUUUACCUAUAAUAGACCAUUUUAAAUCAAGUGCAGGAAAAAGAACAUCCUCCUGUAGGUGUUUUGGUUUUCUGCCAAAUGCCUCACGUAUCUUGAAAUUCCUUUUUUUUCCCCUUAGUUAUUAGUAAGUUAGAGAGAGAGAGUCAGCAGAAUUAUGCUUUAGAAUAAAGAGUCGGUAGGUAUUAGCGGUUUAGGAGUAACGUAGUAGAGUAUGAUGGAAAUGUCUUGUAUGCGUAAAUAAUGUAAACAAAAGAAGUUUUAAAUUUACUUAUCACUUUGUGUGUGUGUGUGUGAUUGAGAGAGAGAGUUAGAACUUGUACGUUUCCUCCCUCGUCAUACCAAAGAAAUAACAAUAUUUACCAAAUAAAAAUUUUGUCUUCUUGUGCAUUUUAAUAACACACUCAUUUCAAAAAAAGUAUAGUUUGGGUACUUCAAGGUCGGCUAAAUGCGGGUGUAUAGUAAAUGAAAAGAAAAGAAAAACUACAUAGCACACCCUACGAGUAAGAGCUAGAUUUACAGUGUAAUAUUCUCCUUGGAAACUUCCAUCCUCAUCCCUAGAACAACAAAGAGGAACGGACUGAUUAGCGGUAAGGCUAUUCAAAGCCGCUAUUAACCGAUGGUCGGGCCGCAGUGUGUAGUAAGUCUUAGUCAGAAAAGCGGAUCAGUCCACCCAAAGAAUUGAUGAUACCCGGACCCGGACUUGUGGCUUGGAAAAGAAAACCGAUCAAAUAAAUUCCCUGAAUUGCUUUCAACGCCACUUGCUGAAAACAUACAACACAAGGUAGGAUAUAUUAAUGAGGCCUCCUCCAACAAACAUUCCUAAAACAGAAUAUUAGGGAUAAGUGAUAAAUAUCUGCUCCAAACAAUAGUUUUGUACAUAUUUACCUUCCACUCUUUUGAUGACAUACUCCAUGUUUAUUUUUAUUUAUUUUCUUAGUAAUUAGUUAACUACUUAUAUUAUUCUUCACAUGUAAUGGGCAGGGGCUAAAUAAAAAAGGAGUGUCUUGCUUACUGUACCACCUUGUUGUUUAUUCCUUGUUACUACUCGAGGAGCAUAGGCCUGAAACCUGCAUCGCCUUCGUUAAUAAAGAAUUGUCAUUGUUUCUCUUUCUCAGUUACACACACGAAGAUUGAUGUUUACCUAAUAGGCAUGAGCAGAACAGAUCUUCGAAGUUUAGUUCUUCAGAUAUAAUUUGUUGUGUUAUUCAUCCGACUGUAUUGAUAAACAGCAUACAUAAAGCACUGAUUAUGUGGAAAAAAUAGUAGUGCUCUACACUUACCACAAAAGAAAACAUUAUCUCGCUGGGAACCAUAUGAAGGUAAUAGAACAGUAGUAGCAAAGAAUCCUUGUACUACAGACUUGUAAAAGGCAUUUGUCGACAGUGCUGCAACCAUCAUUGUGAAAUAAAGAUGAACAUAAAAAAGUUAUACGGCUUUUCGAAGCAUUGAAGGAAACACCAGCAAGCACAACCCUCUCCUAGCAAAGCCUGUACACACUGGUAUAAUUCCUUCUGUUUCUAAGCUAUUAAAACAUAUGGUAUGGUGGAAGAAAAGGCUUGAAAUUCAAAUGCUAUAAAUUAAGAAAGAUACAUAAUUCAUAAUCCUUUUCAUUCUGUUCCUAAAACUAAUACAUGUUGUGACAAAAGAUGCGCAAGUGCACACACACACAGAUUGAAAUUUACAGCUCCUUUUUCACUACAUUAAAAAUACCAACACAAAUCUCAUUUAAGAAAUACAAUAAUUCAAAAGAAAUUGUCAAUUAAAAUAAUAAGUGUUAUUAACAACAUAAAUUAAAAUUAGAACACAAGUCCUUUAUUUGCAAAAAAAGGCAAUUUGUUAAAUUUACUUCAUUUUAGUCUCUUUAACAUCUCUACCGUGUGGUUUAAGGUCCAACGUGAAAGAAACCAGCACAACAGUUUUUCCCCAGUUUCCACCUCUCUUGAAAAUAAAUUAGCCUGGUGCAGUGCACCAGUCCAUGACAAGAACAUU